CCUACGGGUGGCUGCAGUGAGGAAUAUUGGUCAAUGGACGAGAGUCUGAACCAGCCAAGUAGCGUGAAGGAUGACUGCCCUAUGGGUUGUAAACUUCUGUCGCGAGGGACGAAGAAUGACGGUACCUCGUAAGAAAGCCCCGGCUAACUACGUGCCAGCAGCCGCGGUAAUACGUAGGGGGCGAGCGUUGUCCGGAAUGACUGGGCGUAAAGGGAGUGUAGGCGGCAAUAUAAGUUAGAUGUGAAAUCCCGCGGCUCAACCGCGGAACUGCAUCUAAAACUAUAUAGCUGGAGUGCAGGAGAGGUGAGUGGAAUUCCUAGUGUAGCGGUGGAAUGCGUAGAUAUUAGGAGGAACACCAGAGGCGAAGGCGACUCACUGGACUGUAACUGACGCUGAGGCUCGAAAGCGUGGGGAGCAAACAGGAUUAGAUACCCGAGUAGUC
rnacentral:rRNA from 1 species